GUCCGUUUCGGGACUGGCCUACGUCGUCAUCUGGGAAGUGCAGAACAUCCUGUGUGAUGCCGUAAAGGUAUUCUUGAUCCCUUGAGUGUUGCUCCCCAGUUUCCUGACUGACGGGCAAGGGCCCUUUCCGUGAAGUGUCAUCUUUGGCAACUGCUCUUUCUUGCUCGCUACUGCCGUGCUCGAGAGAAACGUCCGCCGGGACCCAGCCUACAAGGCUCCGUUUGGGAAGGUGGAGAUGCAUAGCGUUCGCACUCUCGAACGAACCCCCGCAGCCUCCUGUCUGCAGUCCCCUUAUAUGCACCCUUGGUGUGCUCUCUACCGCCUGCCCCUGUUCCUUUGGCACUUUGGCAUACUCAUGUUCGGUUUGAUUCGAAAGUAUUUCUUGAUGGCCACAGCAGGUCCCGACUACAGCAUCAACCCUCUCGUCUCUUACAGUCUGCGAAUCUGUCAUGAAUCCACUCCCAACGAGGAGAUUUGAAGCUUUUUCCGCACUCCAGCGCUCGGGGAAGCUGUGUUGGAUCACGCGCAGCUCCGGUUCUUCAAGCGCAUCCGCUCCUGGCGUUUCUGAUCUUGUCUGCAUGCUCACCGGCUGUCUGCAGUCGCAUUUAUUAUCAUCAUGCAUAUCAGUGUUUUCUGAUUGGCUCCAUUGUAUCUGGCGGUUCUUGCUGACAAUGGCAUUUUUCUCUAUCUUCUCCAUGGAAGUCUCAUUUUUGGUCUGUUCUGGCACUUGUGUCGCGUUCGCAGCCGCCAGAACAGUCGCACUUUGUGUCUCUAGUUCCGAAGAACACUUUGCCACGCCUUCUACGGCAGAUGCGCCUAACUCCCGAUGCUCUUCGUGGUCUCGUGGGGGAUUCCACGGCUUCAGCGUUGCGUCGAACCCGUAAGAAUCCUCAGGCCGCGUACGCCUUGGUUGUUCUGACGGCCGUGAUGCCAGACCCUGGCUUUGGAGGGGCAUAUCUGCGGUGACCUGCGGAUCUGGAAAGGUUUCAAGAGACGCGGGAACUGGAAGUUCUUCGAAGUCUCCUGGAGCUGCGGUUCGAUUGCUGCCCUUGUCCUGAACCCUCCGUUGUAUGCAGCCUUCUUUUACUCCGGUUACUGCAAGCGUUCGGUCUUCGCUCUGAAAUGCUGGUGUCUGAGGCGCUGCCAACUUGCAGCAGCCCACUGGCGGCAAGGAAGUUCGAAAAGUGCAGUGUCUGUCCUCCGAGAUUUGUUCACCGUUGUGCUGUGUUCCUGCAUAGCUCGCAGACUCCAGUCGCUGAGAUGAUAUUUGGGAUCUGCGUGUCUGGGGUGUCUCAGUGUCCCCGGCAGGCAGCUGUAAGUGCAGAUGCUGGUCCUGGGUUCUUGAAUUCGUAGAUGAUGAGCACGCGGCAUUUUGGAGUGAAGGGUCAGGUGAAGACAUUGACUCCAAACAGUUCAGCGGCAUCAGGAGUGCAUGACACGAAGCGCCGACUGGCGUUUCCUCGUCCUGAUGCUGCCGAGGCUCCUGGGCGCUUACGGAACUAAGAACUGGCGCCUGUGUCUGUUUCUGUUGAAGUAGAGGCGCUUGAGGCAUGUCCUGGUUCAUGUGUUCUCCCCGUAGAUCAAACAGUUGGUGUUCGGGCAAUCGUGGAUACUGCUCUGUUUGUCCAGAGAAACGGGGUAUCCCUGAAUCCGGUUCAUCGGUUGUCAUCUCUCGCUGCGGAGCCCGGAGCUCCAGCGAUUGCGAGAUUGGCUGUGUCGAGGGCAGUGAAGGCAACAUGGGAAGCACACCAAGCGGGUACGGCUGCCCCCACGAGUGCGCCGUGGAUCGUUGCGACGUGCUGGAUUCUCUGCGGGUUGGUGGCGCAGUCCAAAGACACGGAGUUCCAGUACGCUUGCAUACGUUUUUCGGUGCUGACGUAAGUGCAGCGGGAAAAGCCCAGGAUACUCCAGACGAUUGAGUAGGAAAAUUCACAUUCUUAUAUUGGGAUUGCAGCAGGCCCUGUUCGUUCUGCGUGUUCAAGAAGCAGUGCUUUCUGUACGUUUGUGGUUGAGAAAGUAGGUCAAACACGUGUUGGGUGCUUUGCCGGCUCAGUUGCAGCGGAACAGUUUGCUGGCCUCCAUUCUGUCCGGCUUCGAGAGCGGCGAUUGGCUGUGUGUACUUGAUAUAUGCAUUUUGCGACUGCACAUUGCUCGAAAAUUGAAUGUUCUGUUUCUUCCUGUUUUCCUCGAAAGGUUCCGCUACCUCACUGACAUUAUCAUACACCCCUUGCUUAGGGCCUAAUGCAGCCAGCUCCAGUAGCAGGCCGUGGGUAGACGCUGCGGCACGAGCCCUCACUUGUUGCAAUUUCUCCUCGCCCGUUCCAGAAGGAAGUGGAAAAGUCUGACCAUGUGAACACUGCGGCCCCUGGGAAAAAACCGUCUGUGCAGACACGGUUGUGAUUGGUGCAGUAUGUAUGUUUUCGUCGACAGCAGCUCGGGAUGCAGUCAGCGACGGCGCUUCAGACAGAUUCCUCGACACACCAUGGAAACAUUUGGCAGUGUAGGCUCCCUGCCGCCCAGAGGAUGUUUUCUUGAGCACGUCGGAGUUGGGGCCGCGUUGUUUUGUCGAUUGGUGGUCCUGCCAAUCUCUGAGGUGCCUUCCACCAAAUGACUCGAGAUUCGCCGUAGGAUGAGGGACAUGAGAUUGUAUCCGAUCUGUGGAGAGCCACAUUUUACCUUGGUCGCCAACUACGGGAGGGACGCCCAACAUGUCCGCAACCUCCUCAGUCCCUCGUGCCCUGGGGUAGUGAUUAUCCGGGCGCCGCAGAGCAGCCAAUUCCCACGGCAAAACUUCCUCUUCGGCCUGCGUAUUAGUCGUGUGACCUACGGAAGGAAGCGGUUUCUCAUGCGCAGCCACAGGAUCAAAGUCCCCAGGCGGGUGGAGGAGCGCAACCUCGAGCUCCUGUCUUUGUACCAGAGAAUCGUUCAAUGCGGCAGCCACUACACGAAUGCCAGCAACCACAAAGCGAACCACAGACAAAAGACAUUCGCAUUCACAAAACGCACUGCAGUAACUACGGACAACCUAGGGAGUGGAUGGUCCUCAACGGUCUCUGUCAACAUUUCGUUGCAGGGAAAUGCGUUUGAUCAAACGAUAAAAAUCGAUAUUGCCCGUCUUAUCUCUACGUGGCAAGUGAUUUCUAAAGAGGUGUUAUGCUAUUACCGGGAAGGGGAGUACGUUAAAUGAAAGAACUGAACUAAGUUUUCCGUCGCUACCAUCUGAAUAUAACGGGAUUUUGUAGGAAUAAUAGCUCGAUGCACACAACCUCGAGUUUGGUGUUACCCUUCUCAUUAAGCACACCGCCGCGAACAGGUUUUCGUGAGGAAACGAAGGAAUGUCAAGAUGUCGUUUCACCGGAAAGGGUUUACACUUGCCUGUCUGAUAUACGUUGAUUGCUCUUUGCACUGAUGAUCGCCAUGAGGACGUGUCGUCAAAAUCGGGUGCGUACACAUGACCUCUUCGGAGGCGACAAAGAAUACCCGCUUCUCCGAUCCAGUUCACCUUUUCCCACGUAUUGCCAGGCUCGCCAGUUGAAGCGCUAACCGCUCCUUCGAGAUCUGUAAUGUUGGCGAAAGGGGGACAGCCUCCUCGGCCGUAUGCAUGGGGAUCACGAGUGGAGAACCGUCUUGCAUCGACGCCACUUGCUGUGUUGCCUCUAGGCCGAAUUGGGAGACCUCUAAUGCUUUUAUCCCUAGAAACUCUUUUGGACGCGCU
rnacentral:lncRNA from 1 species